rnacentral:lncRNA from 1 species
ACUAUAUACGUUUUUGUCAUGUUAAUAGUUUCUAGUACAUAACAUACUAUACAAUGUAGGUGUUCAACAAAUGUUUGUUAAAUUGACUUAGUAAUCAAAAAUAUUAACUUUAGGUGGUAUCUUUCUAUGUACUACAACCAAUAUCAGGCUAAGGUCAUUUCCAGGGAAAAUUAGAAUGUAACAAAAUUUGUUAGUAUAUAUAGUCCUAUUAUGAGGGUAAUUUUUCAACCUAGAAAACCAGUGUCAUUAUUUAAAAUGUUUAGUAUAACUGGAACCCUGCUGAAAAGUGUAAGAUUAUGAAAUUCACACAGAGUUUUGUAGAUGUGGCCAUUUAAUUCAUUUAUCAAAUAUUAACUAAACAUCUAAAAACUUCCAGGUGCCACAUUAAGCCCUGGGGACUCAAGGAUUAACACAGCAUGAUACCUAACCUUAAGAAGCUUACAGCUUUUUGGGCAAGACACAACGUUCAUCAAAGAUCACAGAACAGUGUACCGGGGCCAGAAAUGAGAGAUUAAUGCAAUGCCAAGGGGUACUUACGAGGGAUGUGAAUCCAGCCUGGAGGCCUUCCUGGAGUGGAGUGGUGUUGACGUGAAAGUGGGCAUACUUGCUUUGCCAACGAUUAAAAAGAAGCUGAAAUCCAAAGUCAUAAACUGACCUGUAAAAUCACGCAGUUGAGAGGUGAAGUUGGGACCAGAGCUCACAGCUCCAGGAACACAGCCACAGCAUCACCUGCUUCCCACAUUGCACUCAUAAAGCACCCAAGCCAGUCUGAGGUCUACUUCAAAAAGUGAGAAAUUGAGAAGAGGAAACGUCCCCCUUCAUUUAGGGCAAAUUUGUCUAGUUACUGCUGCUGCAUUCAGAAAAUCGUAUUCUUUCAGUAGCUCGUCUGCAGAAUGGUAUUGUUCUUCACGGUGAGCCAACAUUUCAUGGAUGACAAAUUUCAUCAAUCCUUUUGUGGGGGCUGAGGUAGAAAAGUGCACUUUUCUUGCCUCACCUGCAGCACAACAAUUCACCGGUGACCUGAUGGAGAUGGGUUACUCUAAGCAGCACCCAGCUUUAGGAGCACACACCUCGAUGUUCACUUGGAAGGUCAAUCAACAGAAAGCCAAGCACUACAUUUGCUGAAAGGGCUGCUGGCAGGUGGCACCAACUGCACAUGUCUCAAUGUGUCCUGAGCUAAGUGACUGUGUGCCCCAGGGUCUAGCCCUAUCCUAGGAUAAAAGUCAGGGCUCACCUGAUCAAAUUCACUUGAUUGAGAAGUAACCACACUGAGAGAGUAAAAGUAGUCAGGGCUUGUUGAAGGCAGUGAUUAACAGUUGCCUGGACGUAUAUCCGAGCUCUGCCACCUACUAUCUGACUUUUGAGCGUUUAUUUAACCUCUUUGUUCCUCAUCCAUAAAACUCGUGCAAUAUAGUACCACGCACUGUAAUAAGUAUUUUUCACCCAUUUUCUAUUUAAGAAAUCAUCCUUCUAAACGGGAAUGUUUGAGCAAGCACACGGCUUUGGGAUGGACUUGCUUCGAACCAACGAAACCCUGGGCCGCCUGCAGCGGAGCGCGCGAACUUAACCAGUUGGCCACGAGGCCAGCCCCAACAGGGUUACCUUCUGAGACAGAAGAGCCUGGUGGAAACGAAAAGCUCUUCCACAACCCAUUAAUGAAAUAAAAAUUAUGCCACC